rnacentral:rRNA from 1 species
GACGAACCGUGCGAACGUUAUUCGGAAUCACUGGGCUUAAAGCGCGUGUAGGCGGAUGGGAACGUCGGUAGUUGAAAGCCCCCGGCUCAACCGGGGAAGUGGUGCCGAACCGACCCGUCUGGAGGGACGUAGGGGGACCUGGAACUUCCGGUGGAGCGGUGAAAUGCGUUGAGAUCGGAAGGAACGCCCGUGGCGAAAGCGAGGUCCUGGACGUCUACUGACGCUGAGACGCGAAAGCUAGGGGAGCAAACGGG